GUGAUAAGCAUUUUUGAUGAACCAAACGAAUGAUAUAAGUGCCUGUUCAUUUUAACAAAAGGCCAUGACAGGGUUUUCUUGGACAGUUAUGCAUAUUUGACAGCACUUGCAGCUACAGUUUCUUUUCUAUUUAAUUACAUGAGCUACCAAGGAAUAUAGAGCCAUUUACUCUUCUAAAAUCAGUGUACCUUUUCAAAAAAUACAAUGUUCAAUAUGAAAUAAGGACACUCUACAGAUGUUUAGAAUUGGAAUAUUUGACUGAAAGUUCAGCAUAUGUGUGGGAAAUUGACCUGAAGAAGUUGCCAUGGAAGUUACUAAAACAGAUUAGAACAUUUACUGGGAGUCCUAAAGGAACCAAUUUGACAAACAGGACUAGAGGAG
rnacentral:lncRNA from 1 species